rnacentral:lncRNA from 1 species
CGCUGCCGCCGUCCCUGAGCAGAUCCCAUCCGCUUCUCAACAACCUGCAGCCGGGUGCAGUUUCCACAAUCCAGCCAUGGAGCAGGGGCAAAGGAUUCCUCGCCACCCGAGGCGAAGACCAGCGCGGAGUGCAAAGCGGGCGGAAGGAGGGUGGAGACCCCAGUCCAGCCAACAAAAACAAAAAGUCUCUUCCCUUUCUUCUGCUACACAGCCAUGGGGACGGGUCGGGGAAAAAAAAACAACCCAAAUGCUUGUCUUCCUUUACGUUUCUUCGCUUCCCACACCCCAGCGGGGGCAAAAGCUGAGCACAGAGAAAAGAGGGUUCAAAUGUCUCUCCAAGUCCACAGUUGCACAACUUCGGAGUCGGGCUCGGGCUCCGCAGCAGCCCUGGGACCAGCGCGGCUAUUAACCUGCGGCAGUCACAGCCGGGCCGCUCCGCCACCGCCGCUCGGGAACAGACGCUGCCGAGACGGAAAAUCUGCCACCAUCCCCCGCCGAUCUUUAUACCAGUUCUCCCACCCCACCCCCUUCUUUCCUCCUCUUCCUCUUUUUCCUCUUCUUCCUCGUCCCUCCCCUUGCCUCAGCGCGGGAGGGAUGGAUGGCGGGGGAGCCGCGAGGCCCGGGUGGCGUCUCCCCUGCGCCUCCUCCCCGCGCUCCUCCCGCUCCUCCCCCGAGCGGGGUUUCGCCCGGGUCCGGAUCCGCUCUCCGCCCGCAACCUGUGCCGGGAGCCGGCCGAGCGCCGCGCCAACUCCUCCCGGGGCGCGGCGGGGCGCGGGGCCGCCGAGGACUGUGAGCCGAGGGCUGCGGGGCCCGAGCCCAGGAGCGGGCGACUUAGCUCGCCGGCCGGGCCGGGCGGCUGCGGGCACGCGGGGCUCCAUCGCGCGGCCCGAGCUCCGCGCCGCCUGCUCCCCCGGCUUCCUCUCCUGCGACUCCGCGGAGCUCGAGGGGCCGCGCGGUGCAGAUGCGCACACACGCGCGCACACGCGCACACACGCGCGAGCUUGCCACGCGCGGCCGGCCGUGCACCCCGCGCCCGCAGCGGAGCCGAGAAGAAAGGAAGGGGAGGGGGCGAGAGACUCACAACUAAGAGUUUGCCUUGAAUCUCAGAGGAGACUUUGGACUUGGACUUUUCAGCAAUGCUACAACUGUUUAUAAUUGGAGGAAGUCUUUAUGUCUAGCCCUAUACUAAGAAGAGAUUAUACAAGGCCUUGAAUACCAGCAGAUGAUAUCAUUUGUGUCAUUUGAAGACCGCCUACCACAGAUGUUCUGAAGGAUGUUUAUGAAGAUACAUUUAUUAUAGCUUGCUCAUCCGUCUUUGAUUCAUAAACACACAAAUAUUUAACAUAGAUAUUUCUAAACACAUGCAUAUUCUUCCUGUCUUGGUGGUUUCUGUGGUAGUUAUGAAUAUCUCAAUCCUAUGUCAAGAUACCAAAUUACAGAAUUCAAGGAAUCAUCUACAGCAUUUAUCCACUGCCACUUUUAUUUUGCAGAUACAAAUUUUGAUAUAGGACAAAGGUAAAUGACUUCA